GCAGGUGUCAUUACACUAUCCAAAAUCCUCUCCCAACCCAAUUUUUUUUUCUGCACCUACAGAAUGCAGAAGUUCCUGGCCCAGGGAUCAAACCUGCUACAGCAGUGACAAGGCUGGAUCCUUAACCCACUGUGCCACCAGGCAAUUCCCCUCAACCCUAUUUUUUUAAUCAGGUUAUAAUUUACAUAAAGUGCACAAAUCUUUUUUUUUUUUUUGUCUUUUUAGGGCUGCACCCACAGCAUAUGGAGGUUCCCAGUAGGGGUCAAAAUUGGAGCUACAGCUGCGGGACUACGCCACAGCCACAGCAACAGAGGAUCAGAGCCAAUCUUUGACCUACACCACAGCUCACAGCAAUGCUGGAUUCUUAGCCCAUUCAUUGAAGCCAGGGAUCGAACUGGUGUCCUCAUGGAUACUAGUCGGGUUCUUUAACCGCUGAGCCAUGAUGGGAACUCUGCACAAAUCAUUUUGAAUAUUAUACAAAAAUUUUACUCCAAUAUAAUUCUGGUCCCUCACCCUUCCUUUCUGCUAUAUUGUCAUAAAAGUUAUAUCUUUAUAUAUUAUGGGCUCCUCAAUGCAGUUCUGAUUGUUGCUUUAUCCAGCUAUCUUUAAAUCAUAUAGGAGAAAGAAGGAAUUAUAAACAAAACUAUAUUUGUACAGUAUCUUAUAUUUACCUAGGUAUUUAUCUUCACUGGUAGUCUUUAUUUCUUCAUGUGAAUUCAGGUCACUCGUUCUGCUCUCCCUAAUGACUGUGGGACUGAAUUGGUCUGGAAGAGAAUGGAAGGGAACAGAAGGAAAGAUGAGGAUAAAAUAGAGUUGGAGGAAGCAGACGUAGAGAUUUUGCCAUGUAGAGAAUUAAAGACAUUCUCUGUCAUUCAGCUUAUACUCAAGAUUCUUCUCUGUAUCAAGAAAUGCACUCAGCACUAGCUGUUCAGUCUCAGACACAGACAUAGUAAAGACACAGUCCCUGACCUGCAGGCUAGUGGGGAAGGAAGUGUAUAAGAAGGAAAGUCUCUCUCUCAGUCCUCAGACUACACAUUAAAUUUUACAUUGUGGGAGUUCCCAUCAUGGCUCAGUGGAAAUAAAUCUGACUAGUAACCAUGAGGAUGCAGGUUCGAUCCUUGGCCUCGCUCAGUAGGUUUGUUGCGGAAACCGCAAAAACUGUGGCAACGGAAGGAGACAAACAGCACUCAGAGAUAUGGAAAAGCAAGGUUUAUUCAGCACUGGUGCGGGCUCAGAGGAGUCACCUCCAGAGUCUGAGCACCAGGUCUUUGUUCUCAGUAACUUUUAUACACUACAAGGUCUUGAUUUUUCCAUGUAAGCAUCCUGGACCUCCCCCAUCCCCAAGCAGACAGUGUUCCUCCCUAAGAAAUUGAGCAAGCAAGGUUACAGAAGCGGAACUGAUAAGCAAUGCUGGAUACCUGAUUAGCAGGGCUGCUGGCUUGGACAGAGAGCACACAGUUGUUACAUUAUUACAAGAAGGGUGGUAUAGUGAUGAGCACAGCUGGAAAGGCUUGCAGCUGCCUUCUUAGCCAAGGAGGGGUUGUUUUUUAGUUAAAAGUCCAUUUCAAGUUAAGGAUCAGGUGUUGCCAUGAGCUGUGGUAUAGGUCACAGAUGAGGCUUGGAUCUGGCAUUACUGUGGCUGUGGCUAAGCUACAGCUCCAAUUCGACUCCUAGCCUGGGAACUAACAUAUGCUGCAGCUGUGGCCCUAAAAUGACAAAAUUAAAAAAAAAUUAUAUUCUGUACAAUUUGGACCUUUUUGAGACAGUGUUUAGAAAAGAUCUCUGUGGAGUUCUCUUCGUGGUUCAGUGGUUAACGAAUCCGACUAGGAACCAUGAGGUUGCGGGUUCGAUCCCUGCCCUUGCUCAGUGGGUUAAGGAUCCUGUGUUGCCGUGAGCUGUGGUGUAGGUCGCAGACGUGACUUGGAUCCGCAUUGCUGUGGCUGUGGCGUAGGCUGGCAGCUACAGCUCCGAUUAGACCCCUAGCCUGGGAACCUCCAUAUGCCUGCGGAGAAAAAAAAAAAAAAAAAAAAAAAAAAAAAAAAAAAA
rnacentral:lncRNA from 1 species